rnacentral:lncRNA from 1 species
AGGCUCCAGGGCCCUUGGGGUCCCGGAGGGUCCAGCAGAAGGGUCUGUGUUUUGCCCGGGGUCCUGAGAGCGUGCUGGGGAUAGCAGGGGUGGAGUGCAGGUGUGCCCAUGGGCGCCCCGGGUCCAGGGCCCGCGAGCCGCUCUCGGGGCGGAGACCUUGCCCCCAGGGGCACGUCAGCGGUCCUGAGGUGAGGCUCCUGCAGAGCACUCUGGGCCGCGUGUGUCUCUCCCUGCGUGGGCAGGCAGUGUCGGUGGCCGGAGCGAGGGUGUUUUCCCAUCGGGGUGAGAGGGAGAGCCCCAGGGUGGGCCUGGGGGCGGAAUCGGACUCGGGGUUGGGGUGGACUCUUCUGAAGCUGGGAGGGGUGCGGGUGGGCAGGGCCUUAGGGAGCCUGAGGGAGGCGCGGUUCCUGGGGGAAGGGUGUGGCGAGGCGGCGGCAGCCCGCGUGGCGCUGUGGCGCCCCAGCGAAGGGGCAGUGCUGGCCACUCGUGUGGCCCUUUGGCUGCUGGCACCCAGUGAGAGGGGGGAGGCCAGGGACAGGUGGCAGCCAGGCUGCCCACAGGCCCUGGGCGGUGGGGGCCCGGCCCUGUGCCUUGGGCAGCCUGGCCCCUUGCUGAGGCGUGCUUGCGCGUGUCCGUUGUCGCCCUCACCCAGCUGCUGCGGCGGAGAGACGGAGGCCAGCGCGGGGAGCGGAAGCCGGAGCCUGUCGGGAGCGACCCCGGGAAGGCCAGUCCCUCCUGCCGGAGGGAGGCGUGUUGGCGUGCGGCCGGUGGCGGGAUCGAUGGCCACCUGCUGCUGCGGCGGAGAGACGGAGGCCAGCGCGGGGAGCGGAAGCCGGAGCCUGUCGGGAGCGACCCCGGGAAGGCCAGUCCCUCCUGCCGGAGGGAGGCGUGUUGGCGUGCGGCCGGUGGCGGGAUCGAUGGCCACCUGCUGCUGCGGCGGAGAAACGGAGGCCAGCGCGGGGAGCGGAAGCCGGAGCCUGUCGGGAGCGACCCCGGGAAGGCCAGUCCCUCCUGCCGGAGGGAGGCGUGUUGGCGUGCGGCCGGUGGCGGGAUCGAUGGCCACCUGGUAG